CCCGACCGCCUCCGGGCUGCUGGAGCCGAGGCAUAGGGAUGGAAGGAUGAGUCCCAAGUGCCUGGGAGCCAACUUCACCUUGGCCAGCGGCCAGCCCAGAAUUCUGCAGAGGACCCAGCUACCUGCCCAGAGUCUGCCCCAGGCCACCCAUGGGGUCUCUCCCUGUCCCACUGAGACCACAGUACAGCUCCCAGAAAACAGAGCUAGAAGUCUCAGAGGAAGCGACCACUGCCCAGGGCCCAACGGCUGUCACCUUGUCCCCUCAUUUGUCAGUGAGAAGCCUGUCUUAACACUUGCGUAGUUUUUCUUUUGUUUUGUUCCGUGGCAGUAUGAGGUGGGAGAUGAGAACCUCAUUUUGAUAAAUGUCAUAUUUUGUCAACA